UACGUAGGGGGCAAGCGUUGUCCGGAAUUAUUGGGCGUAAAGGGCUCGUAGGCGGUUUGUCGCGUCGGGAGUGAAAACCAGAGGCUUAACUUCUGGCUUGCUUUCGAUACGGGCAGACUUGAGGCAUGCAGGGGAGAACGGAAUUCCUGGUGUAGCGGUGAAAUGCGGCAGAUAUCAGGAGGAACACCGGUGGCGAAGGCGGUUCUCUGGGCAUGUUCUGACGCUGAGGAGCGAAAGUGUGGGGAGCGAACAGGA
rnacentral:rRNA from 1 species